rnacentral:rRNA from 1 species
UUGCUCGGAAUCAUUGGGCGUAAAGCGCACGUAGGCGGUUUGUUAUGUCGGAUGUGAAAGCCCUUGGCUCAACUGAGGAAGUGCAUCCGAAACUGGCAAGCUAGAGUACUAAAGAGGGUCGCGGAAUUCCCGGUGUAGAGGUGAAAUUCGUAGAUAUCGGGAGGAACACCGGUGGCGAAGGCGGCGACCUGGGUAGAUACUGACGCUGAGGUGCGAAAGCGUGGGGAGCAAACAGG